GACGAACGCUGGCGGCGUGCCUAAUACAUGCAAGUCGAGCGAGCGGAACUAACAGAUUUACUUCGGUAAUGACGUUAGGAAAGCGAGCGGCGGAUGGGUGAGUAACACGUGGGGAACCUGCCCCAUAGUCUGGGAUACCACUUGGAAACAGGUGCUAAUACCGGAUAAGAAAGCAGAUCGCAUGAUCAGCUUUUAAAAGGCGGCGUAAGCUGUCGCUAUGGGAUGGCCCCGCGGUGCAUUAGCUAGUUGGUAAGGUAAAGGCUUACCAAGGCGAUGAUGCAUAGCCGAGUUGAGAGACUGAUCGGCCACAUUGGGACUGAGACACGGCCCAAACUCCUACGGGAGGCAGCAGUAGGGAAUCUUCCACAAUGGACGCAAGUCUGAUGGAGCAACGCCGCGUGAGUGAAGAAGGUUUUCGGAUCGUAAAGCUCUGUUGUUGGUGAAGAAGGAUAGAGGUAGUAACUGGCCUUUAUUUGACGGUAAUCAACCAGAAAGUCACGGCUAACUACGUGCCAGCAGCCGCGGUAAUACGUAGGUGGCAAGCGUUGUCCGGAUUUAUUGGGCGUAAAGCGAGCGCAGGCGGAAGAAUAAGUCUGAUGUGAAAGCCCCCGGCUUAACCGAGGAACUGCAUCGGAAACUGUUUUUCUUGAGUGCAGAAGAGGAGAGUGGAACUCCAUGUGUAGCGGUGGAAUGCGUAGAUAUAUGGAAGAACACCAGUGGCGAAGGCGGCUCUCUGGUCUGCAACUGACGCUGAGGCUCGAAAGCAUGGGUAGCGAACAGGAUUAGAUACCCUGGUAGUCCAUGCCGUAAACGAUGAGUGCUAAGUGUUGGGAGGUUUCCGCCUCUCAGUGCUGCAGCUAACGCAUUAAGCACCCCGCCUGGGGAGUACGACCGCAAGGUUGAAACUCAAAGGAAUUGACGGGGGCCCGCACAAGCGGUGGAGCAUGUGGUUUAACUCGAAGCAACGCGAAGAACCUUACCAGGUCUUGACAUCUAGUGCCAUUUGUAGAGAUACAAAGUUCCCUUCGGGGACGCUAAGACAGGUGGUGCAUGGCUGUCGUCAGCUCGUGUCGUGAGAUGUUGGGUUAAGUCCCGCAACGAGCGCAACCCUUGUUAUUAGUUGCCAGCAUUAAGUUGGGCACUCUAAUGAGACUGCCGGUGGCAAACCGGAGGAAGGUGGGGAUGACGUCAAGUCAUCAUGCCCCUUAUGACCUGGGCUACACACGUGCUACAAUGGGCAGUACAACGAGAAGCGAGCCUGCGAAGGCAAGCGAAUCUCUGAAAGCUGUUUUCAGUUCGGACUGCAGUCUGCAACUCGACUGCACGAAGCUGGAAUCGCUAGUAAUCGCGGAUCAGCACGCCGCGGUGAAUACGUUCCCGGGCCU
rnacentral:rRNA from 1 species